rnacentral:lncRNA from 1 species
AUGCGUAUUAGCUGUUGUGGACCACUCUCCAUUCCCAGUGCUGUCCUGGAGCAGCUCUGCCCUCCUCUGGCAGCCCUGCUUGGCUGCUCAGGGCGGCCUUUACAUUCCUCCAGCUUGUGUUACAGCUGGCCCCGUGACGCUCCAGCUCUGAGCUCCUUGAACACGGAAAGACAGACUGAUUCAAGCCUGGCUCACGAGCCCCUGGGGCUGGCCACUUUGGAGACAUCAGCUCUCCUCUGGCUCUGUGUGUUCUGUAACUCUGACAUGGACCAGAAACAGAAGAACCUUGAAAUGAAUCGGGCCCAUAUGGAAAUCUCUACUCUAAGAAAACUUUAAAGAAGGCAGCCCCCAAAGCGUUUGCCCUGGAAACCUUCAUCACCCCCUGGAAGAGGACCACUCUCCCACUCAGAGUGAUGUCCUAUUUGAGUUUGGUAACACAGAGCCAAGGUCAGUCUGGUGUUUCUCACUUUACAAAUUCUCAUCUGUCAAGAGAUGCUGAAGGCACCAUUCACAAUCAAGUGUACCCCAAGGCCAUCAACAUUUAAAACUAGCCAUUGUUUACCAAGUUCUGUCAACCAGAAUUGGAUAUUUCUUACAUUUGUUUGUUUGAGGAAAAAGUUAUUUUGCUCUCUCUAACCAUCCAUUCUGCAAAAUGGAGAAAGUGUUUAAAUAAACAAAUUUCACAAAAUAGUCC